rnacentral:rRNA from 1 species
GACGAACGCUGGCGGCGUGCUUAACACAUGCAAGUCGAACGGAAAGGCCCUGCGUUUGUGGGGUUCUCGUUUGGCGAACGGGUGAGUAACACGUGUGUAACCUCCCCCUGUCUUUGUGAUAACACCUGGAAACUCGGGCUAAUAUCGGAUAGGAGCUCCUGCUGCAUGGUGGUGGAUGGAAAGUUACGGUGGUUGUGGAUGGACUCGCUGGUUAUCAGCUUGUUGGUGGGGUAGUGGCUUACCAAGGCUUUGACGGGUAGCCGGCCUGAGAGGGUGACCGGCGACAUUGGGACUAAGGUAGGGCGCAGAAUCCUACGGGAGGCAGCAGUGGAGAGUCUUGCAGAGUGGGGGGAAGCCUGAUACGGCAACGCCGCGUGCGGGAUGCCGGCCUUCGGGUUGAGAACCGAUUUGGAAGGAGACGAGGAGUGCGUGACGGUAAUGGGUAAGGAAGCACCGGCUAACUACGUG